GUCCAGGGUUCUGCAUCGGGUGCAGUUGGAACAGAAGGCCCACCGUUUAAAAAAAGAACCCAAAGUGUCUGAACCGCCUUUAUCAGAGACGUGCUGAUCCUGAAGUGGCUUCCUCCCAGGCCCCCUCCUGCGACGCUGGCUUCCUUGCCGAGUGUUCCCCACCUUCCUGCCCUCCCCCCCCCCCGUGCGCCUGGAAUCUGCGACUUGCGUGGACGCUGUGUGGUCACUGCCGCUGCCUGUGAUGUCCGUGGGCAGGGCAGGGUCCUUGGUGGCUCUUAGCCCCGUGGGCAGGUUCCCUUGUUCUGGAGGGAGUUUGCUGGAGGGGCUGACACAGGGAGGGCCCUGGUGGGCCUGGCUUGCAGCCUGCCUGUGGAAGGCCUGGGGCAGCGUGACGUGCCCGUGUGGUGACAGGAGGACCGCACCCUGUCGUGAGGGUCCUGUGCCCCUGCCCGCCUGCCCCACCUGGCCCUGGCCCCUCUGCUCCCCGCUGCCCCUGCAGACGGCUCGGUCUGUGUAGACCAUUUACAGAUGGGUCUUCCCGGGGGUGCCCUUCUCCUGGGCCCUCUGAGUGUUGCUGAGGGGCGUUGUUGGUGCAGUUGAGGGAGGAGUCCGGGGUGCACUGGCCAGGCUCUGUCCCUUGCCAUGGGACAGUUCGGCUCUUUCCAGCGUUUCACAGUCGGCCUGGUUGGUUGGUCGAUGCCUGCACCGGCACCGCCCAGCUGCGGGGCUUCGUUCUCUUUUCCUCAGUUACUUCAGUGUCUUCUGGACUCCCCGAUUGGGAAUGUCUAGAGUUGC